UACGAAGGGGGCUAGCGUUGUUCGGAAUCACUGGGCGUAAAGCGCACGUAGGCGGAUCUUUAAGUCAGGGGUGAAAUCCCGAGGCUCAACCUCGGAACUGCCUUUGAUACUGGGGAUCUCGAGUCCGGGAGAGGUGAGUGGAACUGCGAGUGUAGAGGUGAAAUUCGUAGAUAUUCGCAAGAACACCGGUGGCGAAGGCGGCUCUCUGGACCGAUACUGACGCUGAGGCGCGAAAGCGUGGGGAGCAAACAGG
rnacentral:rRNA from 1 species